GCGAACGGGUGAGUAACACGUGGGAAAUCUGCCCUGCACUCUGGGACAAGCCUUGGAAACGAGGUCUAAUACCGGAUAUUACCUGUCCUCGCAUGGGGACGGGUGGAAAGCUCCGGCGGUGCAGGAUGAUCCCGCGGCCUAUCAGCUUGUUGGUGGGGUAAUGGCCUACCAAGGCGACGACGGGUAGCCGGCCUGAGAGGGCGACCGGCCACACUGGGACUGAGACACGGCCCAGACUCCUACGGGAGGCAGCAGUGGGGAAUAUUGCACAAUGGGCGAAAGCCUGAUGCAGCGACGCCGCGUGAGGGAUGAAGGCCUUCGGGUCGUAAACCUCUUUCAGCAGGGAAGAAGCGCAAGUGACGGUACCUGCAGAAGAAGCACCGGCUAACUACGUGCCAGCAGCCGCGGUAAUACGUAGGGUGCGAGCGUUGUCCGGAAUUAUUGGGCGUAAAGAGCUCGUAGGCGGCUUGUCACGUCGGAUGUGAAAGCCCGGGGCUUAACCCCGGGUCUGCAUUCGAUACGGGCAGGCUAGAGUGUGGUAGGGGAGAUCGGAAUUCCUGGUGUAGCGGUGAAAUGCGCAGAUAUCAGGAGGAACACCGGUGGCGAAGGCGGAUCUCUGGGCCAUUACUGACGCUGAGGAGCGAAAGCGUGGGGAGCGAACAGGAUUAGAUACCCUGGUAGUCCA
rnacentral:rRNA from 1 species